rnacentral:rRNA from 1 species
CAAGGAAUAUUGCACAAUGGGCGAAAGCCUGAUCCAGCAAUGCCGCGUGUGUGAAGAAGGCCUGCGGGUUGUAAAGCACUUUCGGUAGGAAAGAAAAGACCGACGCUAAUACCGCCGGUUCUUGACGUUACCUACAGAAGAAGCACCGGCUAAUUCCGUG